ACACCCCCUUAAAAGCAAAACCAGCAAUCCAAAAGGGCGAGCAACAAUGUUCAGCCAGCUCCACUUCCAAUCCCCAGCCCUGCAUCUUCUUCCCAUUCCCAACUCUAAACCUCCUUGCAAUUUUCGCCCAUUUCCCCCAAAAAUUACACCCAAAAUCCAAGCUCCCAACUUCAUCACCAGAGCUAAAACAAACAGAAACCUUAAACCCCAAGAGAAACCCCAGCAAGUCGAAGCCGAGCUCUUAACCGAAGAAGAGGAGGGCGAUAAAGAAAGAGAAGAGGGCGGGGAGGAGUUUUCUUAUUCGAGUGCGUACAGAGGACGCGAGGACGAGAAGCAGUACGAUAGGGAUCCAGAGUUCGCUGAGAUUCUCGGGAGCUGUCUCGAUGAUCCCCAAAAGGCCCAAUCUAAAAUUGAGGAGAGGAUAAGGAGGAAGAGGAAUAAUAUAUUGCAUACCAAGACUGGGUCUGCGACGCCAGUUAAAGUUAUCUUCAACAAGUUUGACUUUUCAAACUCCUAUAUAUGGUUUGAAUUCUACAAUGCGCCAUUACCAAAAGAUGUAACCUUAAUUUGUGAUACCAUUCGAUCUUGGCAUAUCAUUGGACGACUUGGUGGCUGCAAUUCUAUGAAUAUGCAGCUGUCACAGUUACCUUUGGACUCCAAAAGACCAAAAUAUGAUGCUAUUCAAGGAGCAAAUGUCACACCAACUACGUUUUAUAAUAUCGGUGACCUUGAGAUUCAAGACAACUUAGCGCGCGUUUGGGUGGAUAUUGGAACUAGUGAACCGUUGCUUCUAGACGUAUUAGUAAAUGCCUUGACCUGCAUAAGCUCUGACCCGUUCACGCAACAGCUAUGUAGGGAUCAAGCAGUUGGUUUUUGGCGGCUCAGAGUUUGAGAACUGGAAGGAGAACUUGACCUCAGAGGAUGCUGGUUACAGCAGCCACAAGAUCUAGCUUAUUUCCGUCGAAAGUCCCAUCCUGGUCCUAAGAGCAGCUUGAGAUUACAGGCUGAUGCACUCGCGAUCUGAGAGGAGAGCCUUCAUAUAUUGACGCCGCGAAACACUGGGGAGAGAGUUCAAGUUUUUGGCAGAAAAUAGUGGUGCUGGGAUUGCUGUUUUUGUGCUAGCUAUCCGUAUUCAUUCUCCUGCAGUUUCGAGGCCUUCAUGAUUUUCGGCCUGAAAGGGGAUUCAACAGUUGUGUAUUGGUUUCAUAUAGGCACGGAGCCCUCUAUUGAGCUAUAGAGCUUAGUCACGAGCUCUUAAUGAUCAUGUUGCUUAAUCUUAAUCAGAAAUGUAACACUUUCUCAAUCUUCAUCAUGAGUUUGACAUCUAGAUAUACAGCGUGCUUUUAUGGUCUUACUGGACUUUAUGAAAUGGUUUCAGUUAAGUA